UACGGAAGGGGCAAGCGUUGUUCGGAAUCAUUGGGCGUAAAGGGCGCGUAGGUGGUUCUGUAUGUCUACCGUGAAAGCGUACGGCUCAACCGUAUUUUGUCGGUGGAAACUGCAGGACUUGAGGCUGGGAGGGGCUGGUGGAAUUCCUGGUGUAGCGGUGAAAUGCGCAGAUAUCAGGAGGAACACCAAUGGCGAAGGCAGCUCGCUGGGACGGUACUGACGCUGAGACGCGAAAGCGUGGGGAGCAAACAGG
rnacentral:rRNA from 1 species